CUGUAAACACUUCGGUUCACUUGGUAAAGCUGUGCAUUCUGCCCAAUAGUCAUGUGCUGUUUGAAUGGAUGCCAAGGGCCAAGGGCAUGGGGAUGUGUCUGCUCUGACCCCGGCUCACACCCUGACUCCAUUCACCACCCAGCAUGGAGGGUGUGAGAAAAAGGGGGAGGAUGGCGAGGAGAGACAAAGUGAAAGAGAGAGAGAGGCUGCUUUUGUGACUGCAGAGACAACAGUCUUUGUCCCACAGCAUCAUGGGGGUACAAGGGCCACCAAUGUCAAGCAAACAAAGGCCAGAGGCACCUCCAUGCCUGACACACACACACUACACACACACAUAUACACACACACACACACUCCUGGACUUCCUUCUGGGGAGACACAGGAACAAGAAAGUUAUAGUGAGGAGCUGUCUGUGCUGGAUGAGGACGUCGGGGAAAAAGCAAAUCUUUAAACAAACAAUGCAACUGUGUGCAUGUGUGCCAUUACACGCUUGCAUGCGUGCAUCCACACAGACACGCACAAUGGAAGCAGACUGACUGUGGUUGGUACCAUUACAGUAAACACAGAUGGCAGGAGGGGCAAAUAGACAGCUCUUUAAUUGAACGCAUCUACAUGGCUGUGUUGGCUGUCUGUGUGACAGGGAGAGAGAGGCGAACUGUGAUCACUGUCAUUCAGUAUGAAGGAGGGAGUUUAGCAAAUAACACACAGUUAAUUUCAGUGUUGUUAAAUUAGAAAGGAAGUUAAUUAAAGUAGGGCAAUUACACACUCUCCUAUGCACACAAGGAAUUGUGAUCACCACAAGUGCAAGCAGACAAAUAACAGCUUGCACAUGAUCCAGAGCUUUACACAUCAUACAGUGUAGAACCAACAUCAGCCCCACGUGCCUUCAGAUACACCUUGUUCCAAUUAACUAAUUAAUGACAUCACCAGCCUGAGCAAACAGCUGACGCGCUCUGAACCGAGGCAGCCCCGCAGUCUGAGGACUGUGACUCAAAUGAAAAAUACAGGCCUAGUUCUGGUAGAAAAUGCAGAGCCGAGGCCAAGUUCGCCUCUUUAAAAAUUGAGAAAGAUUGCGACCGAAAGCAAAUGCGACAAGGCUCCUCUGAAAGUAGCCCUGCCAUCUCAAGCAUGAAAUAAAUCUCAUAAUAUCAGUGGAGCAUCAGCCGGCUCUGACUCCUGGCUUUCCUCCUCCUGUCCUCUAACACAGGUACUCCUGGGUCAAGAGCUGGUACGGAGGUGGAAAGUGUUUACUAAGUGACCCGGCCAGAGUACCAGGCUCCUGUUCCUCUGGGAC